AAACAUGCUAAUAUCAAAUCCAUUGAAGCAAAAUGUAUUUCAUUACAUUCAAAACAAAUACAACUGCUAAUUUAUUGUUUCAAAGUGUAAAUACAUGGGAGGAGGAAAAUCAUUUGAAUCCAAUACAUUUCAAGUCUAACAAGUUUCUUCAUUCCUUGAUCAUAUGGAAGUCUUCCAUAUGUGCCAAACGUACUUGCACAAGCUUAAAGAUCCAUUUGUGAACCGAAUUGGUGGGCUAGGUUGCAUUAGAUCAACUCCUCUUAUGCACCAGGAUAAGGAGCUACAUUUCACUAGAUCAACUUCUUAAAUUACACCAGCAUGAUACAAGUUUUGUGCAUGCUAUUAAUGCUUUUUUGAAAUCAGAUCUGAAAUUCAUACAUGAACAAGUAGCAUACUAAGUAUGACUAUAGUUCAGUGAAAUAUUGAUAAAAGAGUGACAAUUUGUUCACUAAAAGAGAAUUUGGCCAUAACAUUGAAGUUCCCAUGAUCCCUUCCGUUAGUUGCAUCAAUCCUUUUGUGCUUUAAUUAGGCUUGCAUGUCCAUGAUCUGCAGACAAAGUAUAUUGUCAUGAUCUUAACAGUGAAAAGCACUUUAAUCGAAAGAAAGCUUCCUCAAAAUUUUCGGUAUGAAUAUUAUCUAACAAAUGGAAACUUCACAAAUCAAAUACAUCAAGCUCAGCUUGCAUGACUUAAAUAUUAAUUGUUGCUUAGUAGCAAGCAGAUGCUUUACAUCCAUUGAACAUACUACAAUAUCAAUGAACUGCAACAUCACAAACAAAGUUUCUAGGUCAUGAAAACAUAUUUACUAUAAAAAAAAGCCAAUUUGAUGGAAGAGAAAAAUAAGAUUGAAUCUCAUCAAACAUAUGGAGAAUGAUCAAAAUAGCUAACCAACAAACUAAAAUUGAUAAGUAAAGGUAAUUUAUUAAUAAUAUCCUACUACCAAGAUGGUAUUAAGACAGUAUAAAAAUAAAGCUGAAUUAAUCCUUUCAUAUCAUACCACAAAAAGACAAAUACACAACAUAUUUACUAACUAUUCACUUAAGAAAAGCUAAAUUAAUCCUUUCAUAUCUUACCACAGAAAGACACUAAUGCAACAUAUCCACUGAAUUUUCAUAGAAAGUUUAUCUUGUUCUCACUUCUAAUAUUAGUAGUAAAGUUUAAAAGGAAUUCAUGGUGAAAUUAUUAAUUCUUAUGUUACUUCCAAGUGACAGUGUCUUCCUUUAAGUUUUGGUGGUACUUGCCUUUAAGUUUCGGUAGUACUUUCUUGUCACACGGGACUCAUAUGCGCACAAACCAAACAUACCCAAAAACACAAAAAAUGCACGAUAACUUACGAAAAUGCAAAUAUUAAUGUAGUUGAAAAGCAACUUAACAUGCUACAAACAUUAGCGAAUUAAUGUUUACCCUUUUCAAUUGAGGAAUUCUUCAACAAAAUAAUCUAACUAGACAUAAGAUAUAAUAAAUUACUCCUCCAUACUAGUUUAUGUAAUGCAAUUUGACUAGGCAUGGAGUUUAAGAAAGAAAGAAAGACUUCUGAAACUUGUAGUCUAAACUAAGUAAUAGAUAUUUUUGUGACUAUAUAUCAUCUCAUUAAGGGUAAAAUGGUAGGUUUAAAUUUAAAUUAUUUCUAAAUAUAAUAAGGUAUCAUUCUUUUUGAUACAGACUAAAAAGGAAAGUGCAUCACAUAAAUAGGGACAGACAGGGUUGGUUUUUACAAGCAGUUCCAGAUCUGCCACUUCAUAUUAAGAUAGAUCGAUAAAAUUUACUAAAAGAAUAUCUGCAAAACCUUGUACAUAGGCGUGAUAGCUACUACAUCCAUGACACUUGAAGAGCUAAUUCAACCGAACUCAACCAAGUGAAAAGCAUUUUAACCAAAUUAUCUUACAACUAAAAUUACUAUGCAUACUUUUAGACGUGAGAGAAUAUAGACCUGGCUUAUUACCGAUAAAUAGACUUAACAAUCAUUUGGACAUAUAAGUAUAAGCUUAUAGAAAAGCCAGAGUAACUCAUACAGCAAUAAGGAGGCAUCACUUUCUUAGGAAUCAAUAAUACUUGCGAUUUCGCAUCUCCGAAUUUCUACCAUUCUGGCUCAUACCAUGGCCUUCCGACACAAGGCUUGAAACUGAAAGAUAAUGAAAUAAACAAGUUUAAAUCUCACAUAUAGCCAAAGUACCAAAGGAAAACAUCUAAAAUUUCUAUCAAAUGAGUACAUAAGUCUCUGUACUCAUUCCAAUAUUUGGGUAAUACUCUCAUAUGUUCCAAAAUGCUCUACUUCCCUGUUUCUAAAACUCAGACUAAAUGACUUUAACUAAUAUGUUAAAAUGAAUAUUUUUGUCAUAUGAAAAUGAGGAUAACUACAACUAUAUAUUUUCUAAAUAUAAAAAAAUGUUAGUAACAUGUUAGAACAAUUGCUUUAAACGAUUUAGUUAUGAAAAUUAGACAAAUUGAGAGUAUACCAAUUAAACUAUGAGCCCCUACGGAUCUCUACAUGCAAUUCGCUCACUUCGGGAAGAGCGGACGGAAAGAGAAGGCCUUUGUUAUUUAUUUUUCAAAUUUAACGUUGAAGUGACCAACUUCAUUCCAAGUUUGAACUGAAAAAUAUUAUUUUGUUGAAAAACUAUAAUGAAAGAAAUUUACUAAUUUCCAAACAUCCUUCUUCUAGAGAAGACUUUUUAUGAGAAAGAACAUCACCACAAGGAAAUUUAGUUUACCUUACAAUAAUGUCAUGGUAACGUAAAAGGAAAAAUUGCUCCAACAAAAAAACUUCGUGAAAUACUAAUUGUAAUCUAUAUACAAAUGAUUCACCAUCACUGCUCUAUUUUCGUGUGGGAAAAUUCUCCUACAAUAAAAUGAAGGUAAUUAUUAGUAUACAAACUGUACUUACCAUGACCAAAUUAAAUGCAUAUUCAGCUUGUAUAUAUCAAAUUUGAAGAUUAUUUUUGACUUGUAGAUUUUAGAACGGCCAUCAACAACAAGAAAUCAAUACCUAAAGAAAAAGAGAUAGAAAUAGAGAGAGUAGAGAGAGAUUACCUGGUGAUAUUGGUUGGUGAUAGUGAGAGAAACGACGAUGAAGGAGAGGUUUACUUGUGGGUGAUGAUCAUGAGAGAGAUGAUGAAUCCAGAAACCCUAGUUCUUCUAUGGCUUAUCGUGACAUAGAGGAAUCCUUUUGCAAAUUGUGGGUGAAUAUGUGUGCGGUAGAAGAGGGAAUAUUUCAUUGAUGAAAUAAUUGGAGAGAAGUAAAAAUUAAUACACAAAGUUGCACUAAAUAUUUGGAGGGAGGUCAAAACUUAAAAUAAGUACUCUGUUGUACACAUUCUUUGCUGACCAUUAUUUUGAUUUGCCGCUAAACAAGCAUAAUUUACCCGCAAAUAUUCA
rnacentral:lncRNA from 1 species